GGUUGUUGGCACUCUCUUUGGCAGAUGGUACAUAUCCAGCAACAAGCCUAGCCUCAGAAAGUGGCUUUCUUAGUCCAUCACUCCCAUGAACAAACACACAUUCCAUGGUUGAGAAGUUCACUGGCAGGCUAAUCUUAUGUUUUGGACACCACUCUUAAGAAAGUAUGAGUUGGAGUAAGGUGUGCAAGGGAAACUAAACAUGCUUCGAGGAUUAAAGCUUUCUUCAGGGAAUGAAAUCAACCUUUAAAAAAGCAAAUAUUGCAAUAAAGACUCUAAAGAAUUGGCCAAGAAACAACAUGGUCUGGUGUGUGUGAAGCCCACUAAAAACGAAGGAGUGAGAAAUUACAGAUGAAUGUAGAAUGUAAUGCAGAUGGAGACAAAGCUUUAAAGUAAGAGACUGAAUUUGUCUCCCAUCGGGAGAGAUGGGUAAGCACUGAGACAGAAGUGGUGAUACUGAAACCUUAUAGGGAAUGGUCAUACAUUAAUCAGUGCGGCACUUCUUCACAGUCAGACUGAAGGGUUACACAGCUUUAUGUGGACUUCCCCGAUAAACACUGCAGUCAGAUUAUUAAGUUAACCAGAAGCCUGUUUAGCAAAUAGGCUAGUAAAUACUGACUUGCGUGUACAAAAAACCUCCUGCAACAGGGGAAACAAAUUUACACAGAGAUGGAUACAAACACUUGCAGACACCUCCUUCCUAAGUAUGUAGAACAACCCAUUUCUUAACUGGGUUAAGCCAGCUCUGCGUAUCUGGGAACCAAGUACAAGUCAAUUAUUUAAAGGAAUCCCAAGAACUAAGAAACACAUACACAGCUAGAGAGACAAAGUACAUUCAACAUAGCCUUAAGCUAGAAAAGCAGCAUUAAAGAAGAGUUCAAUAUAGGAACAUAUGGGGCGUAUCUGCAUAGAGGACCUGAAAGGAGCAAAGCACCACAGCCUCUACUGUAAUUGUGUAGUGGUGCUUUAUAUAUCUGGUACUUACAGAGGAUAUAUUAACAUUA